CCCCUUUGAAACCGGUCAAAGGUUGCCUAUAUUCAAAUCGUUCCUUCGGGAACUAUGGGCAUAAACGCGCAUGUAAUAAGCGGAUCGGACCCGGGGGCGGUACCCGGCGGCUCCACCAAUCACCCUUUCUUUGGAGGGUCAUGGGGCCGAAAUAGGAUCGACGAACGUGUAAAGAUGUAGCUUUGCUUCGGUGAGAUACCACCGUUAUCGGUUCAUAACGCAUAGUUGCAAAUGACAAUCAUGCUCCGGUGGCCCUCGCCGCGUAAGCGGUUCGGGUUAUCGAAACCUUAAGUCCUUGCGCUUAGCGGCGUAAGGCGGGGUCCGCAGGUACCUGGCAACAGAAACCUGCACC
rnacentral:tmRNA from 1 species